GCUGCGGCGCGGUUGUCGGGCACGCGCGGGUCGCUCUAGGCCUUGCAGGCUACCAAACGGUUUGGAAAGACGCAUUUCUGGCUAACUGUGCCAUCCCGCAUGUGUUCAUCACAGAAGUUACCGGCAGCAGAGCUCGGCGGAAUCCGGGCAGGAGGCCUUGUGCGGGCCGCGGCGACCCUUCCCAGCCGAAACUGUUGCGGAGCCCGCUCUCCAUAGGGCUGGGAACUUAGGCACCGAGGCCUAGUCCCAAGACCCACACCCCCAGGACCCCUUUGUCCCCGUCCGCCGCUAGGCAACGACUCUCUCCGGAGCCUCGGGUCAGUGAGCUCUUCGCUCUUUACCGAGAUGGAAGCGGGGCCUGGGGCGCGCUGGCCCGGACCCUGACUCAACGUGAUUCUUCCUGGCUGGCUUCGUGCUUUUAAGUUAUAUUUUAUUUAUCUUUUAAAAUGAGGGCGGCAGGCUAUGAAGUAGGAAAGAAAGAUGACCCUACCCCCUGCUCUUCCUAGUUCGGUUUCUCGCUCUCUGCUUCGGAUGAACCCUACUCUUUUUGCGGGGCCACGUGUUGCUCGCCGUGGUGAACGACCCUAAAUUCUUAUUAAGACCCGGCCCCCAGUGAACUGCAGCUGCUUCCGUGUCCUUGGGGCACUAGGCAGACUCUUUUGAAAUUACUUUUGCUUUAAUAAUUAAUGUUAGAGUUAUAAAUCCGAAGCCUGGUUAUUUCGAAAUAGUAUAUAUGCUGGUAAAUUAAAAAAAAAUCAUUUUAAGGGGCUUUUUAAAAACAAAUUCCCAUAACUAGAGCGUAUUUAUAAAUUUAUUUUCUUAAGCAGUUCAGUUAUUUGACAAAAUCCAAGUACUGAGCUCAUUCUUAAAACCUAAAAUAUUAAAAUUUUACGUGUGGUUGGUAAGUCUUAAAAUCUUAUGGUCUCGAUAUAUUGCUUACAAAUAUGCUUAAAUCUUGUUACACGUAUCUGCUUAAAGUUAGGAAUCUGAAGCAGUUACGCAAGAUCAUGUUUUAAAGUGAAAUUGCAAAAUUAAUGUAUUAUAUCGGUAUGGUAAGUUCUUUUAAGCGUUAUAAAUAGCAAAUUAAAUAGAAGUUUCUGAAGUGUGAUGGAAAAUAUCAAUGAUAUGACUGAUUUACUUCGUUACUCCUAUAUUUAAUCCUAAAUAUUUCUAGGAUUACUGGUACUUAUUUUCUAAAGUAGGGAUUUCAAAGUUGGAAUCUAUUAAGAAAUUGCAGAAUUUAGACAUUCUUAGCUUUUUUUUUUUUUUUUUUUUUGCCAUUUCUUGGGCCGCUCCCACGGCAUAUGGAGGUUCCCAGGCUAGGGAUUGAAUCAGAGCUGCAGCCGCCGGCCUACACCAGAGCCACAGCAACGUGGGAUCCGAGCCGCGUCUGCGACCUAUACCACAGCCCACGGCAACCCCGGAUCGUUAACCCACUGAGCAAGGGCAGGGAUCGAACCCGCAACCUCAUGGUUCCUAGUCGGAUUUCGUUAACCACUGCGCCACAACGGGAACUCCCAUUCUUAGCAUUUAAAAAAAAAAAAAAAAAAAAAAAAAGAAAGAGCAUUAAUAUGUGAAACUUUUGUUUCAGUUAAACAUACAUAUGCAUAUGAAUAAAUAUAUACACGUACACACAAGUAUAUGUAGUAUAUAUAUGUUACAUAAAUGCACAUUUCUGUAGAUUAAAUACAAGAAGUCUGAGUGUCACUGAGCUGAAAAUUAACCACAGUCAUACUUGGGGUGGAUUUGAGUCCUCUGAUCAUAAAGGAGCUGUGCUAAAGCAGUUUGCUAACUUAAAGAGGUGGCUGAAGAAAAGUGUGCUUCCACUAGUGAGAUAGAAACGCUUGUGAUUAGGUGGGGACAUGAUGUAAACACUAGAAAUACUUCUUAGGCUUCCUUCCUCUCUUUACUAAACUAUCUCCACGGAGACUUCAUAAUCCUGACCUCUGUGGGCAUCUCUGCAGCAUGUGAUGUCAAAGACCCUGUCUUUUCCUUUGGGCUAAUUGUUAGGUUCACCGAACUUGGGAAAUGAUUCUUUUUUUAUUUUUUAUUUUUUGCCUUUUCUAGGGCCACACCUGCAGCACGUGGAGGUUCCUAGGCUAGGGGUCUAAUCGGAGCUGUAGCCGCUGGCCUAUGCCACAGCCACAGCAACGCCAGAUCCGAGCCAUGUCUUUGACCUACACCACAGCUCAUGGCAACACCAGAUCCUUAACCCACUGAGCGAGGCCAGGGAAGGAACCCGCAAUGUCAUGGUUCCUAGUUGGCUUGUUAACCACUGAGCCAUGAUGGGAACUCCGGGAAAUGAUUCUUAAGCAGCAGUAAAAAUGAAUCAGGGUCAGCAACUUAACAAUGUAACCUCAAGUCAAUCAGUCAGCCUUCCUGAACUUUCAUUUCUUUGGCAGAAUGAAGAUAGAGGAUUCCCUCAUUCCUUCAAUAAACAUUUUACUGAACAUCUGUAGGCCAGGUGUGACACAGGUGUGGUACCUGGCGUGUAGUAGGAACUCAACAAAUGUUGGUGGACUUGUUCUUUUGUCCUCUUUAUCAAUAAAUAGGGCAACAACACUUCAUUUUACCCAUUCUCAGUUGAGUCCCAGUUCUCCCAUCACUUCCCAUAGAAUCUACUAAAGCCCCAUUUUAAAAAUAUGCCCAGCUGCUCUGAUUCAUUUCUAUCACUUUAGCCAUUAACUUGCACGUGUAGACCAGGCAUCUCUGAGCAGUUUAGUUUUACAUGGUGAAACAGUUAAAAAUACAUUCCAUUUUUUCAACUUCCAGUAGCAGUAGAUGGACAGUUUACUGAUUAAAUGUUGUUGGAACCUGGAAAGCAUGUUCAGUGUAUAAACCUGCCAAUUACUAGUAUCUCAGUUGUUCUUGUUUGAAGAGUGUUGCUAAAAAUCUUCCAGAUUUCCCCUCCCCAAGUCUUUUUCAAAAUGGCACAGGGGUUUAGGGAGCCCUCUCAUAGCCUAGUUGCAGGGGAGAGGGGGAUGUCCUUUCCUUGUGCUCGGGUUCCAGUGCUGUGUCUUGGGACCCCCUCAAUUCCUGCUGUAAAAUGGCUGUUUUGGACUUGCACCUGGGCCUGUGCACUCACUCUGUUCUCAGAGACACGCUGAUCUCAGCCAGAUGCUUGAAAUCCCUGAGCUCUGGGUCUCCUUACUUCAGGCCUCUACUGGUUCCAAGCCAUGUGGCACUUUUGUGUUUCCAGACUGAGGCAGGCAUGGUCUUUGGGGUCACCUACCUGCCGCAGAUAGGCUGAGAGGACCAGGCUCAUUACCAGAGGGACUUUUAUCCUAACCCUUCCCUCGUGAACGCUCUAUUUAGCUUUCCUGUGCUGUAUUGACCAUUGCAUUGGGCUAAAUGUGGUACUUCUAGAGCAAGGGUCAGCAAACUAUGAUCCUGGGACCAAAUCUGACCUAUGGCUUGUUUUUGUAGAGCCCAAGAGCUAAGAAUGAUUUUCACUUUUUUUUUUUUUUCCUGUCUUUUUAGGACCACACUCAUGGCAUAUGGAGGAUCCCAGGCUAGGGCUUGAAUUGGAGCUGUAGCUGCCCGCCUACACCACAGCCACAGCAACCCACCGAGCCAAGCCAGGGAUUGAACCUGCAUCCUCAUGGUUACUGGUCAGAUUGGUUACCACUGAGCCACGACAGGAACUCUCUGAUUUUCACAUUUUUAAAGGGUUAUUAAAAAAAAAAAGCAGUGGAGAUUAUAUGUAGCCCACAAAGUCUAAAAUAUUUAUCAUCUGACCAUUUAUUCAAAAGGAUUGCCAAUUCCUUGUUCUUGAUGUAUGUUUGCUUCAUCUGUGCUAUGUUCGGGGAGCAUGGCAGAAAUUAACAGAUAUAUUUGUAGAAAUUUAAAAGACACGCAAUAACUCAUUAGCGAAUUAGGCAUGGCUUAAGAGUAUUAGUGAACUCGAAGAUCUAACCAAAUAAUUGAUCCAGGAUUCAACAGAGAGAGAUAAGGAAGUGAAAGAUGAGGAGGCAUAGAAGGUGGAAUGAGAAAGUCUAGCUUCUCUUCUGCCCAGAGAGCAGGAAGGAUGAAAAGGAGUGUAUUAGGGUUCCCCAGAGAGGCAGAAGCAAUUGGAUAUAGAUAUAGAUAAGAGGGAGAUUUCUUAUAGGAAUUGGCUUUCAUGGUUAUGGAGGCCGAGAGGUUCCUCAAUCUGCCAUCUGUGAGCUUGACCACCAGGAAAACUGAUGGUGUACUUCACUUUGAGCCUGAAGGCCUGAGAAUGGGGGUGGGGGCCGCUGCUCUGGUAGGUCCAGUUCUGAUGCUGAAAGCCUGAUGUCCACGGGGAGGAGGAAAUGGAUGUGCCAGCUCAAGCAGAGACAGAACUAAUCUGCCCUCCUUCAUGUCUUUGUCCUACUCUGGUGCUCAGUGGAUGGGAUGGUGACCUCCCACCUUCGGGAGGGCCACCUGCUCUACUCAGUUCACCAGUUCAAAUGCUCAUCUCUUCCACCCUCGCAGACACACCCAGGUAGAGUGUUUCACCAGCUAUGGGGCAUUCCUCAGCCAGUCAAGAAACAACAGAAAAUUAACCCUCACCAGCAAGAACAAUAUUUGAAGAGCUAGAUGCAGUGGGUGCAGUUUCUGCAGACAGAACUGAUGAAAAGCAUGGAUCUAAAGGUGCAGGAAUGCGUAUCAAGCAGGACAUAUCUAUAAAAAAUACACACUUGCUCCCGUUGUGAUAAAUCAGCAAAACACUGAGAACAAAGAGAAGAUCUUGAAAGCAUAUUUUAAAUUAUCAGUUCAAAUUUAUAAUGGUCAUAGGUUAUUCAGGAUUUCAACUUUCUUGGACCAAUGUAGUCUUCCGGGAAUUUAUUCAUUUUAUCUGUGCUCUCACGCUUUUUGCUAUAGAUUUGAAUUUGAGAAAUUUUUGUUUUCUGUAGCAUCUGUAGUUGUGACUUUUUUUUAUCCUUAAUAUUUAUUUUUACCUUCUUUCUGCUCACUGAUCUUGUCAGAAAAUUUUUUAAUCUUUCUUGUUCAAACAAUGAACUUUUGAUUUUGUUGAUUCUAUGGUAUAUAUAUAUUUUUUUAAAUUAGUUUUUGCUUUUACAUUUACUAUUUUCUUCUGCUUGUUUGGCUUUAUUUUGCUGUUCUCUGUUUCAUUUCCCAGAACAAGGAUUGAACCCAGGCCACAGUAGUGAAAGCACUGAGUCCUAACCACUAGGCCACCAGAGAACUCCCUCUGUUUUAUUUCUUAGUAUAGAUGUUGGCUCAUUGCUUUAAACUGUUCUUCUUAAAGUACAGUUCCCUGUAAGUACUUCUUUACUAUAUUUUGCACAUUUUGGCAUGUGAUACUUUCAUUAUAAUUCAAUUCCAUAUGCAUUCUAGCUUCCCUUAUGAUUGCCUCUGUGACCCACACGUUAUGUAAAUGCGUGUUGAAGGCUGAAGCCUCCUUGCUUUCAUUGCUGCUUUCUAAGCAUUAUUUGCUUUCUCUUUGAAAACCGCCCGCCACCCAUCCCUGCCUGGUAGCCUCUGAUUUUGCACUGGGAAGGACAUGACUUACUUUUUGGAUGAGGAGGCAAGGAUGGUGUUGAUCAAAACAAUACACAGCCACAAGCCGUUGAGCGUCCUCACUGCAGACAACUGCCCUGACUGUAUUGUUUCAGCUUCUGUCAACUUCAACCUAGUUCUUCAAGUGCAUGUGUGGCCUUGAGAGCCAGCCGCAUUUUAUGUGUAUUAGGCCCAGGGGACUCAUUUUAAUCUGCGGACGCCUCACAGACAGGAAGAUUGGAGUGAUGGGGCUGGGGAGAGGAGUGAGCAGAGAAGUGAGGCCAAAGCUCAUUCGUCCAUCUUCUUAGAACCCAAACUAAGCAAUGCAAUUCAGCUGGUCUUUGGGGGGCCCCUGAGAACAUAAGUUUUGAGCUGGUGGGCCACUUGGAGACUGAAUGAUCGAACAUCUUCUUUUGCGGAUGAGGAAUCAGCUAUAACUCAGUAUUCAAGAAACUACAGAAUCACUCAAUUUUUCCAUUCAUUUAACAAAAAAAGGAAAAAAAUUUUUAAGUUUUUGCGUGCUUAUUGCAUGCCAGGUAUCUUUUUAGGUACUGGAGUACAGCAGUAAACAAAACCAAGUCCCUGCCAUCAUGGAGUUUACCUAGGAAGGGAGAGACAGAAAGUCAAGUAAAUAUGUAGUACAUCAGGCAUUCCCGUCGUGGUGCAGUGGAAACGAAUCCAACCAGUAUCCAUGAGGACGCAGGUUUGAUCCCUGGCCUUGCUCAGUGUGUUAAGGAUCCAACGUUGCCGAGAGC
rnacentral:lncRNA from 1 species